GGUCCUGACCAGCUCAACUGGUAGAGCACGGCAUUAACAUUGCCAGGGUUAGGACGUUAGGGUUAAGGGUUUCAAUUCCCAUUGGGACCA